UCGAACGAAGUAGACAGAGGAAGUUUUCGGAUGGAAUCAGUAUACCUUAGUGGCGGACGGGUGAGUAACGCGUGGGAAACCUGCCCUGUACCGGGGGAUAACACUUAGAAAUAGGUGCUAAUACCGCAUAAGCGCACGGAACCGCAUGGUUCCGUGUGAAAAACUCCGGUGGUACAGGAUGGUCCCGCGUCUGAUUAGCCAGUUGGCAGGGUAACGGCCUACCAAAGCGACGAUCAGUAGCCGGCCUGAGAGGGUGAACGGCCACAUUGGGACUGAGACACGGCCCAAACUCCUACGGGAGGCAGCAGUGGGGAAUAUUGCACAAUGGGGGAAACCCUGAUGCAGCGACGCCGCGUGAGUGAAGAAGUAUUUCGGUAUGUAAAGCUCUAUCAGCAGGGAAGAAAAUGACGGUACCUGACUAAGAAGCCCCGGCUAACUACGUGCCAGCAGCCGCGGUAAUACGUAGGGGGCAAGCGUUAUCCGGAUUUACUGGGUGUAAAGGGAGCGUAGACGGCAUGGCAAGCCAGAUGUGAAAACCCAGGGCUCAACCUUGGGAUUGCAUUUGGAACUGCCAGGCUGGAGUGCAGGAGAGGUAAGCGGAAUUCCUAGUGUAGCGGUGAAAUGCGUAGAUAUUAGGAGGAACACCAGUGGCGAAGGCGGCUUACUGGACUGUAACUGACGUUGAGGCUCGA
rnacentral:rRNA from 1 species